CCUACGGGUGACAGCAGUAGGGAAUAUUGCUCAAUGGGGGAAACCCUGAAGCAGCAACGCCGCGUGGGGGAUGAAGGUUUUCGGAUUGUAAACUCCUUUUGGUAGAGAAGAAAAUGACGGUAUCUAACGAAUAAGCACCGGCUAACUCCGUGCCAGCAGCCGCGGUAAUACGGAGGGUGCAAGCGUUACUCGGAAUCAUUGGGGGGAAAGAGCGCGUAGGCGGGAUAGCAAGUCAGAUGUGAAAUCCUAUGGCUUAACCAUAGAACUGCAUUUGAAACUGUUAUUCUAGAGUAUGCGAGAGGUAGGUGGAAUUCUUGGUGUAGGGGUAAAAUCCGUAGAGAUCAAGAGGAAUACUCAUUGCGAAGGCGACCUGCUAGAACAUAACUGACGCUGAUGCGCGAAAGCGUGGGGAGCAAACAGGAUUAGAUACCCCUGUAGUC
rnacentral:rRNA from 1 species